GAUGACUCACUGGACUCUCCAUGUUAACUUUUGCAUUUUAUCUAAGAUCAGGCAUCCAUAAGCAUGCCUGACUGAAUCAAUAUAACAUGUAAAGUUUAUGUUGUUAAAAUAAAAUGCAUGACAGCUAAAGGAUAAUUAGCUUCCCACCUUUUCAACAGUUUAGUGUCAGUUUGACAAAAUCAUGCUGCUUUACAAAUUAAAGUUCUAUCUCCAGAUACUUAUAUAAUUUUCUCUUGUACGUCAAUAAUUAUUGUUACGUAACUGAUGGAAUUUUAAUUAAUGAAGGGUAAAUGCUUCAUGCCAUCAGUAUAAAAUGAAGUGUUAGGACUCUGGGAUCAGUAUAUAAUUGCUCAUGAAAUCCCUUGGUUGAAGGAUUGCUCUGGGAUCAUAUCCUCCAGGCACUGUUUACACAUUGUACAUUUUAAAUGUAUUUUAAUAUUCAAAUUAAAGAAAAUGGAGAUGGCUGGAUAACUCUCCAGUAUUCCCUACUGUUUGGGUCAGAUCUUCAGCUAUGCUCCGACACUUCAUACAAUCUAAAAAGGGCCAGGGCAGCAUAAGUCACUCUAUAAGCCUCUUGUCCAGCUGGGGAAGGAUUGUCUGGAUGAAGGCAUUGUGGAAGGCAGCCAUAAGGCUGUUGUCCAAGGACCCCCUCACAAACCUGGACACAGGCCACAUUGUGGACAAGAGGAGUAUGUCAAGGAUGGGGCUACAGCACAUCAUGCUGUGGAGAUUCUGGAGCCUGGUGCAGUCUGCAGGCCAGCUGAAGGAGGCUCCUGAAUUUAGACAGCCCCCCGAUGGCUGUCUGAGUUAUGCCGGGGGCUUCUCUAGCCCCUGAAACAGCCCCAAAAUCAGGAGGGUGCAAAGGUAGCUUAAAACCACUAUAGCUCUUUGAACCAUAGCACAGAAUCUCACCCAGUGACUAUAAGGCCAGUGGGGGACUUACUAUAGCAAAGAUGUAAGAGAAAAUAUAGUUUUCAGUAGGUAUGAAUGGCCCUUAUGAGGAAUAUUAAUUUACAGAUCAUACUGUUUGAGGGCUCACAGGAUUGAUCUAAAAAAAUAAAAGUGCACUUAAUACGUAUGUUACUGAAACAAGACUUUACUGAGAUACUCCAUUAAGCUCCAAUUCUUCUGCUCUGAUUAUUUAGGAGACUUGCAAAAUCAACAUUGCUGCUUAUUCCAUUAUUUGGAGUUCACUACAUGGUGUUUGCUGUAUUUCCUAUACGCAUUUCCAGUCACUAUCAGAUAAUUUUUGAGUUAUGUUUGGGAUCUUUUCAGGGGCUGGUUGUUGCAGUCCUGUACUGCUUUUUGAACAGUGAAGUACAAGGUGAGCUGAAAAGGAAAUGGCGGAGUUUGUGUUUGAGCCAGACAGUGGGCCGCGACUACAGACUCCAUAGCUGUUCUAUUUCUCGAAAUGGCUCAGAAAGUGUCUCCCAGCUCCAUCGGAAUUCAGGGGCACAGUCUUUUAUGCAGACAGAGACCACAGUGAUAUAAACCAUGUAGCUCAACCUAAAGACUAUGGGACAUAUCACUGUAUGGAGCUCAAUGUAAUAUUUUCUAAAAUGCACCAUUUAUGCUUUGCUUUUCUACAUAUUGACGUCUGGAGAAUGGCCUGGUGCAGUAAAUCAUGUAACAGAUGGGCAGGCGGCUUUGCAGACAUUUUGGCCUCGAUCCCCAAAGGUAUUUAGCUGCCUAACCCCCAUUGAUUUGAAAGCAGUAGGAGUUAGGCACCUAAAUACCUUUGGAGAUCUGAGCCUUUGUGCUUUUAUUUAUUCCUAUUCACAUUACAUUCUGAUGUUCUCCUGUCAUUUGUACCAGUGGUAACUAUCUAAAUAUAAUUUAUUUUAAUGCUCCAUUUCUAUUUAUCGGUCUCUAAUAUGUAAUGUAUGCUGAACCCCACCCAGUGUAUGUUGCUUUGGUCCAUGUUUACAGGGGUAGGAUGGGAGUUGAGAGAGAAUAUCAUAUAUACCAUCUAUAUUUAAUAGACUGUUUCUUUCACACAGACGCUAGACCCUACUAUAGCAAACAAAAUUGAAAUAGAGAUAUUUAGGGCCAUAUGUAUGUUCUUGAUCCCCAUAUGGAAAUCCAGUUGAUGACAGUGGGAAUUUAGCAUACAGAUGAAGGGCAUUAUGAGUCCAUAAUUUGUACAGAAGAAAAUGUUAGUCCUUCUUAGCUCCUUACAUAAAUCCUAAUUCAAUUCAGAGCUACCUCACUGCAAUAUUUGAUCCUAAGGGCUUGAUCCUGCUUUUCUGCACGAGUGCCCAUUUCUACAUAUCUUAAUGCAGAAUGUGAGGCUAGCCCUGCAGUCCUUACAGAAAAGUCCAUUGCACAGUAGUAGUCAUUAAACAGUCAGCAUUUGCCAAUAGCGGUAUCUGAGUUUACUAGAGUUUUCCCCAUACUAAAAAUCAAAGAUAUCUGUGGUAACUGUGUGGUAACAUUUGGAAAAUGUUAAUGUUUUUAAUGACUUCUACUCCAUCUGAUUUUUUUCUACCUACCUGACAGUACAUUUAUGUAUUUCAGAAAGGUGGGACUGAACUUUAAUACCCUAGCCAUCAAGUUCUAUGAGUUUUCAGAAAUGGUAUCCUUUUUGCUUUGGUUCAAAAGAAAAAAAUAUUUUGGUUACAUUUUUGAUAGAUAUCCAUCAUAUAAGAUAAACAGACAGAAAGGAACCCACACUGAUGUUAGAAAAGAGUUAGGAACACAUAGAAUACAAAACUAGGCGCCUCAAUCUCUUCUUAUCUAACUUUCUAAAGAGGUAUUUUCCUAAUAGAACAACCUAGUGAAAACUAAACAGGAAUGGACAUCCCACUCACCCACUGAAAAUAUGUUUUUAUACAUAAUGAUUUUAUUAAAAUAUAUCUUUAGAACUUCACAUUUGGCAGCUAAAAUUAAGGUAUCAAAUUAUAAAUACUACUGGAGUUUAAUGAACUAUGUAAAUAUUUUCAACAAAAUGCCGUUUUAUAUCUGUGAGGUGAUUGAAAAUGCAAUCCUGACCAGCAAGGCCAGAGGAAAAAAAAAGACAAUCCCUUUCAAAUGACCAUAAAAGGCAUAAAUUGAAAGGAUUUUUUUGGUAACCUCAAGCCCCUUAUGUAGCCCAGUGAAAUAAAAGACACAGCACUGACAAGUGCUUAUAAAUACACACUGGAGUCUUACAAGACAUAAGCAGUGUUCUGUUUACCUCUCAUGUCACAACUGACCACAUCCUCUCUAAAUAACACGUGUGAAUACUGUGCAUUUGCAUGAGUACUUUUGCCUCAUAAACUGAAGUGUUACCACAAUAUUUCAAACAGCAAAUUGUACAUUACAUGACAGUUGCCAUGAUUUAAAUAAUAAUCACUUAAUUCAUAUCUUCUAAUUAGUAUUACCAAUAAACACCCUGUAUUGUAAUUCAUUUUAAGUAACAAUAAGUAAUAGAUUGUUUUGUGUAACAAUCUAUUUAUUGCCAUAUUCACAAACAAUAGCCAUGGUUCAAAAGGUAAAUAGUUACUGUUGCGCAACUGAGGCCUUUUCUGUUCUACAAAAAUAAUCUGACAAUCAAGGGACUUUCAUACCAGCCUUUUAUACCUUAAACCACUCAGAAUAUUUUGUAGAGACAGUCACUUGUCAAGUUAACUUAAAAAGUUAAAAAGAUUUGACUGUUCAGUGAUACUUGUGUGUUAACAUUGGUCAAAAUAUUCAGAUAUUUGGAACAAACUGAUAAACUAAACAGUAAUAAGUCACCAGGACCAGUUGGUAUUCACGCAAGAGUUCUGAAGGAACUCAAAUGUGAAAUUGUAGGACUACUAACUGUAGUCUGUAACCUAUCAUUUAAAUCAGCUUCUGUACCAAAUGACUGGAGGAUAGCUAAUGUGAUGACAGUUUUUAAAAAGGCACCAGAGGUGACCCUGGCAAUUACAGGCCAGUAAGCCUGACUUCAGUACCGAGCAAAGUGGUUGAAACUAUAAUAAAGAACAGAAUUUUCAGACACAUAGAUGAACAUAAUUUGUUGGGGAAUAGUCAACAUGGUUUUCGUAAAGGGAAAUCAUGCCUCACCAAUCUACUAGAAUUCGUUGAGGGGGUCAACAAGCAUGUGGGAAAGGGGGAUCCAGUGGAAAUAGUGUAUUUAGAUUUUCAGAAAGCCUUUGACAAGGUCGCUCACCAAGGGCUCUUAAGCAAAGUAAGCACUCAUGGGAUAAGAGGGAAGGUCCUCUCAUGGAUUGGUAACUGGUUAAAAGAUAGGAAAGAAAGGGUAGGAAUAAAUGGUCAGUUUUCAGAAUGGAGAGAGGUAAAUAGUGGUGUCUCCCAAGGGUGUGUAGUGGGACCAAUCCUAUUCAAUAUAUUCAUAAAUGAUCUGGAAAAAGGGUAAACAGUGAGGUGGCAAAAUUUGCUGAUGAUACAAAAACUACUCAAGAUCGUUAAGUCCCAGGCAGACUGCAAAGAGCUACAAAGAGAUCUCUCAAAACUGGGUGACUGGGCAACAAAAUGGCAGAUGAAAUUCAAUGUUGAUAAAUUCAAGGUAAUGCACAUUGGAAAGCAUAAUCCCAGCUAUACAUAUAAAAUGAUGGGGUCUAAAUUAGCUGUUACUACUCAAGAAAGAGAUCUUGGAAUCAUUAGCAGAACCUGAAACCUGAUGAUUUUGCGUGGUUUUGAGUUUCAUUACAUCUCGUACACUGGGACAGGUUGUGGCUGAUCCUGUGUCUAAGGCAUGGGGAGAUGGCCAGAUUGUGUUUCUCUUACUUGUUCUGAAUUACACUGAGCACCACAAAUAGCCCCUCUGACAUCAGUGCAUUUGUCAUCUCCAUCUGGACAGAGUGGAGAUUUGGGAGUGGGGCACAGAUAACUGUUUGUGGCUCCCUGAUCUGGAGCUACCCUAUGUUAGCACAAGUUGGAGCUGCUCUGAAACAGCUCAAACGUAUGCCACUGCUAUAAAGCUCCACAAAGACCUUACUCCAGUAGCGGAUAAGGAGUAUGCCUGCUCAACCCUAUAGCACCCCUUCUCCCCACCCCAGAGCACUCUAGGCAUGCCCUCUCCCUCCUCUGACACGGGGGAUGGAAAGGCAUUUGGCACAAACAUGAGGUACAAAGUGGCCUUAGCAGACCAGAGAAAGGCUCUUCUCAGUGUGAGAGUACCACAAUCUGGCCCUUCACAACUGUUGGGGGUGAGAGAGGGAAGAGAUGUGUAAACUGCCAUCCCCAAAGCUCAUCUUCCCACCUCAUCCAAAUUACACCUAAUGUGUAAAUGACAAAAGCCAAAAUUCUCCUUCUCCACUUUACGUGCAAAAUUUUUCACACAUCCCUAAUGACAAUCAAACAUUAAACUCUUCUGGCAACAUCAAGUACAACUGACAAGUACUCUGCAGAAAGAAUUACUCUGUAUUUAUAGGUUGUCAUUCUAUAGUCUUAGACUACAACCCUGUAUCUGCAGUGAUACAGCAAGCUGUGUCAUUUACCAACAAAAGCCUACUUUUAAAUUACCAACUGUGCCUAUAUACACCUUGAUAAUCUCUGAGCAGUGAAUACUGCACUGCCAUUACCAAACUGCAUGAUUUACUACACUGUAGUAUUUUUGUGAUUUAAAUAAAACAUCAAGAUAAACACUUUUUCUGACAAGUAUGUUAUGAGGACUACAUCACCAUAACAUUAACCACAGAGAAUUCCAGAAUCUGCUUUAAUAAUCCAGUAUAAAAAUGUAUUUUGCCAUUGAUACAUCUUGUAAUAAAGUGUAAUUAAACACAAUCCAGGUACAUCUACUUUGUAAACUAAUUUAUACUGGGCUGCUAUUUAUAAAACUGCUUUAUUUCCAUAUGUACUGUAAUAAGAUUAUUUACAUCCUGCAACUUUUUCCUAGUGCAUUCGCAUAAGAAACUGUUUAACACAUUCUCUUUGGUCCUCUGUAUUGAUAAUGGUUUUUAUGUGUCAAGUACAGUAAACUUUAAACCUGAUGUAAAUGAAUGGUAUUUUUUACAAAAUAUACAGAUUAUGAUGAUGUAUAGAUAAAUGUGUGUAAAUAGAUUUGCUUUUCAUAUUUGUAA